GUAAAGGUUGCUUUUGGGUUCGCAUUAGCUUUUAAAGAAAGACGGAUUCCAUUCAAACGUAAGCCUUGGAGCAGUCACAAGCCAAAGAAGCAGAGGAACUAAAAUCAACAAACAAUACCAGUUGAUUACCCCAGAUGGGAAAGAGGAUCGACAAGCAAGAAAAUUAACUAAAUAACCCCAAAAAGGGAAAAAGGAAAUCAAAAGAGGAAAAGAGAAAAACAAGCAAGUGGAAGAGGGGAAAAACGUCAUGAUCAUAACCCGAAAGUUCAACAGUUUCUCUCUAGUUAGCUAUCUCCUCAAAUAGUAAAACUUUUCUGCCUACACGUACUAGUCUCUUCCGUGUUUAGAAUCAAAGUUCAUCCAAUUUGUAGGAGGAUGAUUAGAAUGAGAGUAAGGACUCCCAAACUGCAUUGAAAAUCUUACGAGUUCAUCUUGUUGAUGAGAAGGUACGGAUGAUGAAGAUGAAGAUGUAGAUGAU
rnacentral:misc_RNA from 1 species